UUUUUUCUCUAGCUUACUUUAUUAUAAGAAUACUAUAUAUAAUACAUAUACAAAAUAUGUGUUUAUCAGUUGUUUAUGUUAUUGGUAAGGCUCUGAUCAAUAGUGGACUAUUAGUAGUUAAGCUUUGGAGAGUCAAAAUUUAUAUGCAAAUUUUCACCUAUGUAGAGGAUUAGUAUCCUUCAUCUCCACAUGUUCAAGGAUCAACUGUACAAACAAAUUGGGAAAAUAUUUUCAGCCAACAUGACAAAAUGUUAAUAUACAUACUGUAUAAUAUACUCUUACAUAUUCGUAAAUUAAAAAAUUAAGGCCUCAAUAGAAUACAUGAAAAGAACAAAGUGGAUUUCAUGAAUAAAUAUGUUAUUAAAAAAGAAGUGGUGAUGGUAAAGAAGACAGGAGAAAUAUUAACAUCCUGAGAACCCACUAAAUAAAAAUUAAAGAUCUUAAAGUGGAGAAAAUCCAAAGCUUUCAACUGUAUGGUAAGCCAUUCUGAUAUACAUCCAGAUGGGAUGUAUCAGUCAGUUUCAUAUUUCUUAAGAUGUAAACUAACAACAUGAGUCAAUAGCUUUUAAGUUUUUCAUAGACUUUGACUCAGAGAUUUCACUUUCAAGAACUCUAGUCUUUGGACAUUGAGAUGUUGACAGUCCUAGACAAAAAAGCAUUCACUCCCAUGGAAUAAUAAUGAAAUAUUGGAAACAAUAUAAAGUCUAACAUUAAGUGAAUGGCUAAGUAAAUCAUGAUGUACACACAAGAAAGACUACAUUUAAAGUUUUGAAUAACAUGAAAAUAUUUGAUGUUGGGGUAGAUUUCCCCUCUUUCUUUGAGUAGGAAGUACCAGAUGCACAAUAUGAUCUCAAUUAUGAAAGGGAACAGGGUACAAAAAAGAAAGGAAAUACGCUACAGUCUUAACAGUGGUUCUUUCUAAUUGUAUGUACUUCCUAGAUUUACCAAAGUGAGUAUGAAGUACACUUGAAAACAGAAAAGGGGAACAUAAAAAGAAAAAACAAAUUUGCUAAUGUGCCAUUGAUCCUUUAAAUACUAUUACUAGUUACUUAUAAUUACAAUAAUCUUAUAAUUACAGUUCAGGUGAACUACAUCUCCUGUAGGUAAGCAGUUCUUUAUGACACAGGGAAGAGCAUUUUGUAAAAAGUAAUAUUCUAAAUAAAAAUUCUAAGGGAUUGUAAGUAAAAUUGGAAAACUAGUAGAUAUUAUAUUUUUUGAGUUUUAAAAACUCUGGCAAAAUCAAAUCCUGGGGACCCGGGAUCGAGUCCCACAUCAGACCGUUGCAUGGAGCCUGCGCUUCUCCCUCUGCCUGUGUCUUUGCCUCUCUCUCUCUGUGUCUUUCAUGAAUAAAUAAAUAGAAUCUUAAAAAAAAAAAAUGGAGUCAACUAUUUCAAAAUUGAGAUUUGAAAAUUUUUGCAAUGGAGAAAAAAUAUGUAAAAUAUAAUGAAUAAUGAAGAGGGCUAAGGAGUAUUACCAUCAAAAACUAGUCCUACCUAAACUUUUUAUCAUCUUGAUGGAAAUGUGCCAACCCUCUUUAGUUAGGUAAUGAACAAAUAAUAAAGUACCAAAGUAACAGGAUAAGCACUAGCAGAACCAUUUCUAAUUAUGAAAGGAGGCAAAAAUGAUACAUAGGAUUUGACUGAGGUUAGGUAGGUUUUGUCACUAAGGGAUAAAUGACAAAAAUAUAUUUAUAAAAACAAAUAAUCAUGCGU
rnacentral:lncRNA from 1 species